rnacentral:rRNA from 1 species
GAGUUUGAUCCUGGCUCAGGAUGAACGCUAGCGGCAGGCCUAACACAUGCAAGUCGAGGGGUAACAUAGAAAAGCUUGCUUUUCUGAUGACGACCGGCGCACGGGUGCGUAACGCGUAUACAAUCUGUCCUAUACUGGGGUAUAGCCUUUAGAAAUGAAGAUUANUCCCCCAUAGCCUCUUUUAAUGGCAUCAUUAUUAGAGUAAAGGUUACGGUAUAAGGUGAGUAUGCGUUCUAUUAGUUUGUUGGUGAGGUAACGGCUCACCAAGACUGCGAUAGAUAGGGGCCCUGAGAGGGGGAUCCCCCACACUGGUACUGAGACACGGACCAGACUCCUACGGGAGGCAGCAGUGAGGAAUAUUGGACAAUGGAGGCAACUCUGAUCCAGCCAUGCCGCGUGCAGGAAGACUGCCCUAUGGGUUGUAAACUGCUUUUAUACAGGAAGAAACCUUGGUACGUGUACCAAGCUGACGGUACUGUAAGAAUAAGGAUCGGCUAACUCCGUGCCAGCAGCCGCGGUAAUACGGAGGAUCCAAGCGUUAUCCGGAAUCAUUGGGUUUAAAGGGUCCGUAGGUGGAUAAUUAAGUCAGAGGUGAAAUCUUGCAGCUCAACUGUAAAAUUGCCUUUGAUACUGGUUAUCUUGAGUUAUUAUGAAGUAGUUAGAAUAUGUAGUGUAGCGGUGAAAUGCAUAGAUAUUACAUAGAAUACCAAUUGCGAAGGCAGAUUACUAAUAAUGUACUGACACUGAUGGACGAAAGCGUGGGUAGCGAACAGGAUUAGAUACCCUGGUAGUCCACGCCGUAAACGAUGGUUACUAGCUGUGUGGACUUCGGUCUGCGUGGCUAAGCGAAAGUGAUAAGUAACCCACCUGGGGAGUACGUUCGCAAGAAUGAAACUCAAAGGAAUUGACGGGGGCCCGCACAAGCGGUGGAGCAUGUGGUUUAAUUCGAUGAUACGCGAGGAACCUUACCAGGGCUUAAAUGUAAGUUGCAUUAGCUGGAGAUAGCUAUUUCUUCGGACCACUUACAAGGUGCUGCAUGGUUGUCGUCAGCUCGUGCCGUGAGGUGUCAGGUUAAGUCCUAUAACGAGCGCAACCCCUGUUGUUAGUUGCCAGCGAGUCAUGUCGGGAACUCUAACAAGCCUGCCGGUGCAAACCGUGAGGAAGGUGGGGAUGACGUCAAAUCAUCACGGCCCUUACGUCCUGGGCUACACACGUGCUACAAUGGUCGGUACAGAGAGCAGCCACUGCGCGAGCAGGAGCGAAUCUAUAAAACCGAUCACAGUUCGGAUCGGAGUCUGCAACUCGACUCCGUGAAGCUGGAAUCGCUAGUAAUCGGAUAUCAGCCAUGAUCCGGUGAAUACGUUCCCGGGCCUUGUACUCACCGCCCGUC